GAUGAACGCUGGCGGCAUACCUAAUACAUGCAAGUCGAGCGAACGGACGAGAAGCUUGCUUCUCUGAUGUUAGCGGCGGACGGGUGAGUAACACGUGGAUAACCUACCUAUAAGACUGGGAUAACUUCGGGAAACCGGAUCUAAUACCGGAUAAUAUUUUGAACCUCAUGGUUCAACAGUGAAAGACGGUCUUGCUGUCACUUAUAGAUGUAUCCGCGCUGCAUUAGCUAGUUGGUAAGGUAACGGCUUACCAAGGCAACGAUGCAUAGCCGACCUGAGAGGGUGAUCGGCCACACUGGAACUGAGACACGGUCCAGACUCCUACGGGAGGCAGCAGUAGGGAAUAUUCCGCAAUGGGCGAAAGCCUGACGGAGCAACGCCGCGUGGGUGAUGAAGGUCUUCGGAUCGUAAAACUCUGUUAUUAGGGAAGAACAUAUGUGAAAGUAAAUGUGCACAUCUUGACGGUACCAAAUCAGAAAGCCACGGCUAACUACGUG
rnacentral:rRNA from 1 species